UGGGGAAUAUUGGACAAUGGGCGAAAGCCUGAUCCAGCCAUGCCGCGUGAGUGACGAAGGCCUUAGGGUUGUAAAACUCUUUCGUCGGGGACGAUAAUGACGGUACCCGAAGAAGAAGCUCCGGCUAACUUCGUGCCAGCAGCCGCGGUAAUACGAAGGGAGCUAGCGUUGUUCGGAAUCACUGGGCGUAAAGCGCACGUAGGCGGAUAGUUAAGUCAGGGGUGAAAUCCUGGGGCUCAACCCCAGAACUGCCUUUGAUACUGGCUGUCUCGAGGUCGAGAGAGGUUGGUGGAAUUCCUAGUGUAGAGGUGAAAUUCGUAGAUAUUAGGAAGAACACCAGUGGCGAAGGCGGCCAACUGGCUCGAUACUGACGCUGAGGUGCGAAAGCGUGGGGAGCAAACAGGAUUAGAUACCCCAGUAGUCCCUGAG
rnacentral:rRNA from 1 species